AUCAAAUUGGGCGCCCCACCCAGGUUGCUGCUAACUUGGUUGCUGAAGGAUUGGAGUUAUUUGAAUUCUUCUGUCCUCUUUCCUGUUUGUAACACUUUCCUUUUUGUGGGAGUACCACAGGGGAAUUCCUCAUCUGUUAUGUUUUACUUUAUCACGUCUUGUAAACCACAUUUUAUAAUUAUUUUAACAAUAAGCUACUGCUGUGAAGGUGCAGGGAGAAUGCUAUGUACAAGCCAAGGAAGAUCUGAGGCCCCCAGAAGCUGGGAGAGAGGUGUGGGGCAGCUUCUCCCUUACAGCCCUCAGAAGGAACCCACCCUCCUGAUACCUUGCUCUUGGACUUCUAGCCUCUGGAACCAGAAUGUGUGUUCUGUCAGCAGCUAAGAGCACAGAUCUGGGUGCUGAUCAAGACCCCGAAGCAGGCCUGAGAAAACGCAGAACUGAGAAUGUAAACUUCACGAAGGAAAAUUUUGUUCACUGCUGUGUGCCUAGAAAGGACAGUUCCAGACACUGAGAGAAAGAUAAAUAAAUAUUUGUGGAGUGAAUGAAAAAUUGAAUGAAAAGAUGACUGCCAGACCUCUGAGCACGAGCUGUUCCUGACAUCGUUUCUGUCAAUUUCCUAGAGACCCAGGAUCCAGUCACGAGUCCCUCAUGGGGCUGGAUCAGGAGACAUCACCAUGCAUUUGUCAGAGUCCAUUAUGCCCCCUGCUGAAGAAGGCUGUGAUCUUCAGUCGACCUCUUUGUGUCCACUGUCCUCUUCACUUCCAGUGAACGUAUCCCGGAUGAUCCUCAGUCUGUCUUGCAAAUAGACUUGGACAUGUCCCUUCAGAUCGGCAGACAGGCCUGACUCCAGCAGUGUGUUGGGCUUGAGCUCAAAGCUGGGACACAAACGAUGCUUAUAUUGAGCUGAAAACAAUCACUCUGCAUUUAUUACCCCAAAGCCCUUCUUAUACUCCCCAGGACUACACAGAACAAGCAUAAUUCCCUUCUAACAUGUCCACCUAACAAGACUGAAGCCAGCUCUCUUUUCCUGCUCCCCUUAAAACUAUUUUCUAGGUAAAGCACGCUCAGGACUUUCUACCAUUCUUCAGAUGACACGUUUCAUGUUUUUUCAUCGUUUGGGCCCCUUUCCUCUUAAUAUGCUCUGGCCUGUCUGUGACCUUCUAAACAUGUGAGGUCAAAGAGACUAUCUGCCUGGCCAGGAAAGAUUGGAGUAGACUAUCACCUCUUUUAUUCUGCCUACUAUGCAUUUUGUGGUAGUAUAACACACGAUUCUUUAAUAUUGGAUUUACUGUUAAGCCAUAGCUCUACAAAUAACUGAGAAGAAGUUCAGAAUUGAGAAGUCAUUAUUUAAUAAUCAAAGAUGUGAUGAAAAAUAACCAUACUGAUUUUGGUAUGUACCUUUUUAAAAUAAUGUAAUUUCUUAACUAUAUCUAGUUACAUCCUUGAAGAUGUAAGUGUUAACGAGAAACACUAACAAAAACCAGGAAAAAAGGGAAAGGGUCGGAAAAGCUAAGUUAUGUAACUUCUGGACAUCCUAAAAUUUAAACAUGUGUUCUUGAAUUUUUCUCAGCACAAAUGAUAAACUAGUGUGUCUAUUGGCUGAACCCAACCAGGGUCAGAGAGCAAGGGGGUCUGUUGAUGCUCUCCAUACAGGCCAGCAUUUCUGGACACAAAGUGGAGUGCAGAGAAGUUCUUCAGGGGCAAACAGUGCAUAUCCAGCAUACCGUAGACAAGGGUCACAAAAGAAGGAAAUGGGAGGACGGUAGACUUUUACCUCAUGUAGCCUGACUCUGAGAAUUCAAGAAUUAAAUUGUUGCUCAUUAAUUUCAUAUUUCAGCCAUACUAAGUAGCAUUAUUCUUAGGGGUCUUUGCACCUGAAGAGCAAAGGUUAAGAGUGCAGUUUUGGAAUUAGUUUGACCUGGGUUUAAAUUCUGGCUCCAUUCUGUAGAUUAUAUUUCUUUGACAAAAUUAUUAAUGUCUUUUAAUCCUGUAGUUCUUCACCCAAGAAGAGUGUCUGCCUCGUUGUUUAUUGGAGUCUUAAAUGAGAUGUCUCCAGUGAAGAUGGCUGGACUUUGGAGAGGUGCGGCAGCAGAGAUCCUUGGAGCAUCUGCCUGAAUUGACAAUGGAUAUAGAACAACCUACACAGACUUGCAGAACGUCUAUGUCCAAUCAUUGGGACCAUUAAAAAUACUUAGAGAGAGGAUCCUGUAAAAGAUUGAACAUCAUGUUCAAGUGGAAUGAGAGACUUUGGUUACUGUUAUUUGGGGAAGUAAAGGGAAGACCCGUGAACACUGGAGUCUUUGUAAUGUGCUUAAUAAAAGGACAGAAAAAAUGAUUCACCUCAGGAGUACAAAACAACCAUUUCCAAAAUUAUUAAUCUCACCAUUUAGUUUCAUUUGGCAACCUCAGAAUGCUCAAUGCAAUACUUGAGUUGUAGCAGGUGUUUCUGUAAGUGAGCUUUUUAUAGAAUCAUGAAAUAACAAUGCUUUACUCCCUUAAUGGGUUCAAGUUCUGGGUGGAGAUAACGAGUCGAUGUUUGAUAGUUACCAGGG
rnacentral:lncRNA from 1 species